rnacentral:rRNA from 1 species
AUUGAACGCUGGCGGCAGGCCUAACACAUGCAAGUCGAGCGGAUGAAGGGAGCUUGCUCCUGGAUUCAGCGGCGGACGGGUGAGUAAUGCCUAGGAAUCUGCCUGGUAUUGGGGGAUAACGUCCUGAAACGGGCGCUAAUACCGCAUACGUCCUGAGGGAGAAAGUGGGGGAUCUUCGGACCUCACGCUAUCAGGUGAGCCUAGGUCGGAUUAGCUAGUUGGUGGGGUAAAGGCCUACCAAGGCGACGAUCCGUAACUGGUCUGAGAGGAUGAUCAGGCACACUGGAACUGAGACACGGUCCAGACUCCUACGGGAGGCAGCAGUGGGGAAUAUUGGGCAAUGGGCGAGAGCCUGAUCCAGCGAUGCCGCGUGUGUGAAGAAGGUCUUCGGAUUGUAAAGCACUUUAAGUUGGGAGGAAGGGCAGUAAGUUAAUACCUUGCUGUAUUGACGUUACCAGCAGAAUAAGCACCGGCUAACUUCGUG